rnacentral:rRNA from 1 species
UACGGGGGGGGCAAAUGUUGUUCGGAAUCACUGGGCGUAAAGAGCUCGUAGGCGGUCUGUCGCGUCUGCUGUGAAAACUCGGGGCUUAACCCCGGGCCUGCAGUGGGUACGGGCAGACUAGAGUGCGGUAGGGGAGACUGGAAUUCCUGGUGUAGCGGUGAAAUGCGCAGAUAUCAGGAGGAACACCGGUGGCGAAGGCGGGUCUCUGGGCCGUAACUGACGCUGAGGAGCGAAAGCAUGGGGAGCGAACAGG